UCCCCAGGGUGUCGAGCAGCAGUACGCACCCACCAUGUACCAUACAUUACAGAAGUGCAGACGACAUAAUGUUUACCGCGGCAUCCAAGAUGGCGGACACUUUGCAUCGCUUCACGCGAUGAACACGGACACAUGACGGAUGUAGUGGGUUUUCGUCGACGACCUCCGACGCCAAAAAGAAGUCUAUGCGAAAGAGUGCAGGAUAUUAUGGACAGUGGUCAAGACGGCUACAUCAAUGAUCCAGAAGGAAAAGCAACAGAAACUCAACUGAAAGAAAGCAACUUUAGUCUUGUCUGAUAAGUGCUGCAUGCGUUCCACAGCCCAUGCCAAGUAUGGACUGAAAUUCUGGCUGAACUACCAGAUCUUAGCUCCAUGAUACAAGUAUGUAGACAGCAGCUGGCAACUAGUAGCUGCAGCUCCCUGAAUACCUUGUAAAAUGGCAAAUGCACUGUUAAAGUUAUAGAGAUUUUUUUAUAAGACCCCUGAAAAUCCUCAAAUACAUGUAUGAGAGAAAGUUCACUUGCAAUACUGAUGAGCAUCUAUGCAGAGGAUUCAAUUAGUUUGGAACUUGCUGCAACCCCUGUGUAGGUUGUCAUUGAGGAUUCUGUCUGAGGACUUAUUGAGGUGAACAGUCUGUCAAGUGUGAGAGAGGUGACACUAAAGGAAGUGAUUCUAGCCAAAAAGGACUGCAACUUUCCUCUGCAACUGAAGGAAUCAAAACCCCUGACGAAGGAGAAAUCGAGUUUUACCAAGUCAGUGAAGAUGCAGAUGGCAGAUGGCAGUUGUAGGAGUGCCUUGUUGUGACCUUCGAAUUUUCACCAAUGCCACAGCGAUGUGCUCAUAGUACAAAAAUGUACAUGUUUCAUUCAUUGAGGCAUUUUUGAAACCAUUGAGGAUUCUUCAAUUUCAUAAAGGUCAAUGUUUUUCAUAAAGGUCAAUGUUUUUCAUAAAGGUCAAUGUUUCACCAUAUAGCCCAGGGUUUGCAAUUUUUAUCAAGACACCUCGCACAAAUUUUAUUUGGCAAAACUAGUUAAUUGGUCUUGUCAUAAAUGUGAUUGCUCUAGUUCAAAGAGUAAAAGUGCAUGUACAUGUUAUUAAAAUUAUAUUUUUGACAUUAAAAUUUUUGUCAACAAAUUGCAGACUUUUUAGUCAUCUUUAAAAAUCUAUACUUUUCUAUGAAUAGUUAGUGCAAUUUUAGGUGAAAUACAUUAUCUACUAAGCAAUUUGUUAUCUCCUGAGCUAAAUGCGUCAUUAAGAAUAGGAGCAACUUGACAUGUUUCUGUACAAGGAUUGGAUGUAUUUCAUCAAGUUUGGUUUUCCAACUUCAUACAGACGUCACUUGAGACCCUGUAUACAACUUUGGGAGUGGUCUGAACAUUUCUGUUUUCUCACAAAAUUCUUCAAUGUUUUCCCUGCUAUAUUUGACUUUUUACGACAUGUUAUCGCUUUCUGAUGGCUGGUAGGUCAUUGCAAGGAAAAAUUAUUGACGUCCUAUAUGCAAUUCUUUCCUACAUGUUCUUGUUAUGUUUAUUUAGUAGAAGGAUUUUUUAAACAACAUUUUAAGGUUUCCUUCCACUCUUGAGUUUUAAUUUAUUGCAUUGUACUAGACUGGGGCAAGCAUUAUUUGUGUGUAACUGAAAGAAAUUGCCUGAAAAAGUACAAUUCACAUUUCACAAGUUAAUUAAAACCACUGCUUUAAUAUCUCAUCCAAAAAAAAAAACACAUUGUAAUGUUAAAUUAACAGUUAUAUUAAUAUCACUUGUGUUGUAAACAUUUUUUUGAGAAGUACACAAUGUAUACAAUUGUGCUUUUCAAAAUAUCAUGUAUGUACACAAGUUAACCAUGCUCAACCUGUAACACUAUAAUAGCAUUUCAUGAGAUUACACAAACAUUUGAACAAAAUGAACUAAAGGUGUACCAUUCUAAAUUUUGUGCAAACUAUGUGGCAUAUGUGAACCUUGGUCACUGUUUUUCUAGUGUUCUGAUGGUCCCCAUGAAUAUCCUGAUAUCUGUUUGACAAAGGUGGGGGACAGGGGUGGGGGCGGAGGCACUGGAGGAUGGAACAUUUGGUGAAUUGGGUGGGGGUGAGGGGGGGGGGAAGUGUGCAGUUUAAACUUGUGAUUGGCUCCUAACACAACUCUCUGUAAAAUUUACAUGAAUCUGCCAAAGAUUAAAGACGACAAUGCUGUGCUGGAGAUCCAGAAACUUUACUGUGUAAUACAACUUCUCCUGAUACAGUUUUGUAGUGGUACAUAUGAUGUCAGGCACAGAUUGACUACAAUAAAAUAGAAAAUAAAAUGUAUGUAUUUGUUACAAGAAAUUACCCAGUGUUUGUGUAACCUUAUUGUAACAGAAUUAGCUCAUUACAUAUCACUUACAUGUUCCAAACACAUGCACACACAUGUCCAAAGCAAUGUUUAUGUAAAUACACAUGUAGGCCCCUACAAUGUACAU